ACUGAGAGGGGUGGAAGAGGAAAUCUUCACUCUGGGGGUCGUCGCCUCAAGCACCCAUACCCACACAACGGGUUUCUUCCACCGGCGCCCGGGCGAAAAGGAGCGGGGGACGCGCGGUCCAGCGAGGGGACGGCUUGCGAACGGAACGAGACGGCGUCGACCGGGGGGACGACCCAGAGACACGCAUUACGUAGCGCGUGUCUCUUGCUAGUUAAUAACAAGAGGCCACAUAAAACAGCCCAUCCCAACCCACAUAAAGCAGGGGAGGAGGAGCCGCAUUGAGCUGAGCUGGGCAGGGGGAUGGGGAUGGUGGCGCUGGAGCGGCAAGGCAGAUCACCGAUGGCCGCGACCAAGGCGCGCUCAGCCUCCUCGAUCUCCGCCCUCUCCCUCACCGACCACACCAUGAUCAUACCUGGCCCAACGAGUUAUGUGUCGAUACGGAUG
rnacentral:lncRNA from 1 species